CCCAGGUCAAGAGAUCAUGGGGAAGCCUUUGCAAACAGGUGUGUCUUCAAAAGCCAGUGGAAUGCCAUUACAGGCAGGGCCUCUCAUAUUUCACUGCAUUCCACAGCACUGGUGCCACCAGUGAAAAUGAAAAUUCCUCCAAUAGCUAAUAUGUGGCUGGCCAAUUUAUUUACAUGUGGCAAAAUAGGAUAUAAAAGUUUGAAACUAGUGAGUAGUGCUGUGCCAAAACUAUUUAUUCAGUUUUGUUUUCACUGUUAUCCUUAAAUACUUCCAUUUUCCAUUGUGCUUUUUAGAGUUCCCUUAACGUUUUCUCUACCUUUUAAAUCUAAAAUUAGGUCUCUACAGUUUCCUCAGAGCAUGAUAUUCUGGAGGUAUUUUUUUUCCGAGGGGGGGAAUCAUUUUUGUGUAAUGUGAAAGUAUGUUUGACAAAAGAUUGAGAGGGAACUUCUUUAGAUUUUGGAAGAAUAACAUUUCUCUGUGUAAAUACUUACAGCUCUGAUGAGUUGGCAUCAAGUAUAUGUCAUAGAAUAAUAGAAUUAUAGAGUUGGAAAGGAUCCUCUAGGGGUCAUUUAGUCCAACCCCCUGCAAUGCAGGGAUCUCAACUAAAGCAUCAAUGAUAGAUGGCCAUCCAACCUCUGCUUAAAAACCUCUAAUGAAGGAGAGUCCACCAUUUUCCAACGACAUCCGUUCCACGGUUGAACAGCUUUUACUGUCGGAAAGUUCUUCCUGGUGUUUAAUAGGAACCUCCUUUCUUGUAGGGAUGCAGGUGGCACUGUGGUCUAAACCACUGAGUCUCUUGGGCUUGCUGAUCAGAAGGUCGACGGUUCGAAUCCCCAUGACGGGGUGAGCUCCCGUUGCUCUGUCCCAGCUCCUGCCAACCUAGCAGUUCGAAAGCACGUCAAAGUGCUUCCCGGCGGGAAGGUAAACAACAUUUCCAUGCGCUGAUCUGGUUUUAGUCAUGCUGGCCACAUGACCCGGAAAAACUGUCUGCGGACAAACAUCAGCUCCCUCGGCUAGUAAAGCGAGAUGAGCGCCGCAACCCCAGAGUCAUUUGCGACUGGACUUAACUGUCAGGGAUCCUUUACCUUUUACCUUUCUUAUAACUUGAAGCCAUCGGAUGAAGUCCUACCCUCCAGAGCAGGAGAAAACAAGCUUGUUCCCUCUUCCAUGGGACAGCCCUUGAGAUAUUUAAAUAUGUCUAUCAUAUCUCCUCUCAAUCUCCUCUUUUCCAGACCAACAUACCCAACUUCCUCAAGGCUUGGUUUCCAGACCGUCAAUCAUCUUGGUUGCCCUCCUCUGCACACGUUCCAGCUUGUCAAUGUCCU